ACUCAACUAUUCUUAGUGAGGGUCCACUUAUCCAGGUCUGCCACUGAUAAAGGUCCGAGCAGAGCACUGAGGCCUGAUUCACACCUAGUGGCCGCAGGGCCAUGAAGGGAAUAGUGACUCAAGUGAGUCCUCAAGUUGACGUAAAAUCAGAAAUUCUAAGGAGAUCCAACGUCUAAUUCAGAUGAUGUCAGUGAACUUCUCCAUGGGAUGCGCGUCACUACCAACCUUUACAUCCCACAUGUUGCGAGUAUGAAGAGGGUUCAAGAUUGAAGCAUUUGAUUGUAUCAGCGGAGACUCGUUGCCAAGAGAACAAAAGUUUCAUAUAAGCUGAGACGCCAAAUGAUAAACAGGAAGUUUUGCAUGCAAGUAUAAUAAAUACUGUAA